rnacentral:lncRNA from 1 species
AUACAAAUCACUUAUGCUCAAACUGAGAACUGUGUUACUCAGCAGGCAGUUACUGUGCUCAAUCAUUGUCAUAUCAGAAAUCAUGUGGGUAAGAGAACUGAUUUCUUCUAGGUUCCCCCACCUUUUCUGGCACAGAGGGGAGAUAAUGGGAGCAGUUGGGGUGUAUGUCCACUAGCUGCUGUCAGAUCCUACCUUCUUCUCCAGGCAGCCAGCUUUCUUGGAAGGCAUUGGUUCUGAGACAGCUGCAAGAUAUCAAAGAUGAUUGUUUGCCAUCUGUGAGGAGAACAUUCCCUUUACAGUGAUGACACACUUUGAUUUCCUGGUGUAUGCAGUAUGCACUGUGGUG